rnacentral:rRNA from 1 species
CCUACGGGAGGCAGCAGUGGGGAAUUUUGGACAAUGGGCGAAAGCCUGAUCCAGCAAUGCCGCGUGAGUGAAGAAGGCCUUCGGGUUGUAAAGCUCUUUUGUCAGGGAAGAAACGGUGAGGGCUAAUAUCCCUUGCUAAUGACGGUACCUGAAGAAUAAGCACCGGCUAACUACGUGCCAGCAGCCGCGGUAAUACGUAGGGUGCAAGCGUUAAUCGGAAUUACUGGGCGUAAAGCGUGCGCAGGCGGUUUUGUAAGUCUGUCGUGAAAUCCCCGGGCUCAACCUGGGAAUUGCGAUGGAGACUGCAAGGCUAGAAUCUGGCAGAGGGGGGUAGAAUUCCACGUGUAGCAGUGAAAUGCGUAGAGAUGUGGAGGAACACCGAUGGCGAAGGCAGCCCCCUGGGUCAAGAUUGACGCUCAUGCACGAAAGCGUGGGGAGCAAACAGGAUUAGAUACCCUGGUAGUCCACGCCCUAAACGAUGUCUACUAGUUGUCGGGUUUUAAUUAACUUGGUAACGCAGCUAACGCGUGAAGUAGACCGCCUGGGGAGUACGGUCGCAAGAUUAAAACCUUAAAGGAAUUGACGG